rnacentral:rRNA from 1 species
UACGAAGGGGGCUAGCGUUGUUCGGAAUCACUGGGCGUAAAGCGCACGUAGGCGGACUUUCAAGUCAGGGGUGAAAUCCCGGGGCUCAACCUCGGAAUUGCCUUUGAUACUGUAGGUCUCGAGUCCGGAAGAGGUGGGUGGAAUUCCUAGUGUAGAGGUGAAAUUCGUAGAUAUUAGGAAGAACACCGGUGGCGAAGGCGGCCCACUGGUCCGGUAC